AUGAGAGGGCGGAAACAGCAGGAUCUCACUUUGUCACCCAGGCUGGAGUGCAGUAGUGGCAAAAUCACGGCUCACUGCAACCUCAACCUCCUGGACUCAAGCCAUCUUCCUGCCUCAGCCUCCUGCAUAACUAGGACUACAAGCGUGCACCACCAUGCCUGGCUAAUUUUCAAAUUUUGUUUUGUGUAGAGAUGGGGUUCCACUAUGUUGAACUUGAACUCCUGGGCUCAGGCGAUCCUCCCACCUCACCCUCCCAAAGUGUUGGGAUUACAGGCGUGAGCCAUGGUGCUCAGCUCUGCAGCAUUUUAUAUCUUAUUUGCAAGAGCUGUGUGGAUUUUCAUUGGCUUCUUUCUUAGCCUGGGUUACCCUGGAAAGCAGAGAUUGAGAAAAGAGCUUGCAUUCAGGUAGUUUUUUUGGGAAAUGACCCAAGGAAUCAGUAAGUGGAAGCACUUGUCAUUGAGUCACAUCCCCCAUUGAGGGUUGCCUUGGGUGGUGAUCUCAGACCCUGCACUUGAGCUGUGCUUGCAUCCAUGCCCAGUAAACUCCUGUGGGUAUCCCACUUCUUCAGUACCAGAAAAACGCCACAGAAGGUCAAUGAUAUGCCUGAGGAAAUAUGUGGUCAAUGUUGGAACUCUUCACCCCUUUUACCAUGUAAUUAUUCACCACAGCCACAACUGCAAAUGGCAACAGAAGACUGAGAAGAAGUGAGGCAGAACAUAAGAGGCACCUGAUUCAAUCCAUUCUCUGCAUAUGUUAAGACCAAUUUGUCACUGAGUCUUCAAAGUAUUGGCAGCUGCAAUCACUCCAAAAAGAAGCUUAAUGCAAAGGAUUAGUAUACUAAGCUGCAAUCUCCACUGCCACAACUGAAUCUGAGGUCAUAAUUGGUAUUCAUCAUCUAGCUUCUCCAACAUCCAUUCUAGAUUUCCCUCACCCUUGCCCAAAACUUCAGGUCCUUAAUUGGCAUGCCAUCUCCAUCCUUGAGGGAUGUGAGCUCUUAGCUUCCUUGUCCUUACUGGGCUAUGAUUGCUAAAAUUGACUAUUGACCAGUAUCAUUUUGCAUGGAAGUACCCAGAGACCCCCAGUGAAUCCCUGUAUUCCAGAUUCUCUCUGUUCUCAUUGUAUGGUAAGAAACCCUACUCCUCAAGAUAAUCACAUUUGAUUAUCUUCUGCAAGUAUAGUAAUUCUUUUCUUUGCUUGUUAGGUCGCUGGCAUGAGGAACCCAAAGUAGAGGCGGCAGUCAUAGUUUCCGCCUCAUUGAGAUUCUUAUCAAUUCCUUUAGUGAAAGCAGUACUCCUCUGGGUAUUAGAACCUCUGAAUCCUAUAAAACCUAAAGGUGCAGGGACGAGAAGCACACAUUCUGUAAGCAGACCACUUAGAAUCCACUGGGAAUGAUGGUGAGAGGGUCAGACAACUAUAUAGACCUGUUUAUUUCAGUUAUUGGGGGCAUAGCAUGACUAUUUGUUUAAUUUAUAUACUUGUUCUUGGUGGACAAUGUCCCAGCUUCACAGAGGUCUUUGCCCUGAGUUAGCACCUUAGUUGAACCUUUAAUAAGCAAUUCCAUCAUUAUAAGCAGGUGAUUUUUUUCAGGUGGUGCACUAUGUGGUAGAAAUAAUGAAUCAUUUGGUCAUGAAUUGAUUGUUGCAAACUUUUCU
ensembl:lncRNA